rnacentral:lncRNA from 1 species
AUGGUUGCCUACCUCCAGCCCACGUCCUCUGCCCCGCUUCCGGCCGCCGCGCCCUGCCUCCGAGAGCCCUUCUUCCUUCCCUUUCCUCUCGUUUCCAGUCCUCCUCGGGGCGUUCCCAUGGCUGCUGCCGUAGGCACUUGGGCUUUCUCGAUGCCGGCUGUGCGGAAGGUGGGCUCGCUGCUCAAGAACGGGGCUGGGGCUACGGACUCUCUGCAGGAGGCGACGGCAGAAAUCGAGAAUGGUGAGAAAACUGGUCAAUACAUAGUUGAACAAGGAGGCUACCCAAAUAAAGAUGGGCUCGUUCAAUGUGGUGCAGCUGUCAUGGAAGGUCUCCCCAGUCGAUUUGGAGCAAUGGCGGCCUUACAUGGGCAUUUGUGA